GACAACUGUGAAAGUCUGAAAAACCCCACCAAAAUCCCCAGCUCCUGCUGUGUCUCUACAAAGAUAAAGAUAAUGGGUCUUCUUCAAAUACACUCUCCAAUCGCGAUAUUUCUCAGCAGUCGAGUCUCAUCGUCCCAUUCUAAACCGCCUUGUCUUCCUCGAUUCCAAGAUUCCGCCAAGAAAUUUGGACAAAGUUCGCUUUUUUCGUCUUCUCCGGGAAUCGGAGACGGACCCUUUUCGCUAUCCACUGUGCCCAGAAAGCUGCUCUGCACACCACCUCGAGGGAAGCACGUAAGAGAAGACUAUCUUGUGAAAAAAUUGUCGGCUCAGGAGGUGCAGGAGCUUGUGAGGGGAGAAAGGAGCGUGCCCCUCAUCAUUGAUUUCUACGCGACAUGGUGUGGACCUUGUAUUUUGAUGGCCCAAGAACUUGAAAUGCUUGCAGUGGAGUAUGAGAAUAAUGCCAUAAUUGUGAAAGUUGAUACGGACGAUGAGUAUGACUUUGCCCGAGAUAUGCAGUGUUGUUGAAUGACAAGUGGGAACAGCUCUUCAUUGAAAACCUUGCUUGGUCAUGAUCCUCCUCUUAAGGAACUGCUCCUUUCUCCCCCUUUUUGCAGUACGUGGCCUGCCGACUUUGUACUUCAUCAGUCCAGAUCCCACCAAAGAGGCUAUUCGAACAGAAGGUCUUAUCCCAAUUCAGAUGAUGCGCGAUAUCCUAGACAAUGAAAUGUGAAGGCGUCGGGAAAAUGAAUUGAUAAAAUGUCUUCCACAAUCUAGAGACAGAGCUGCGCCAGCUGCUCCACAUCCGAUGUGCGUUUUUGGUCCGUGAUAUUCUUUUAGUAUGAAGGCAGGUGUAGGCCGUUCAAUGUCAAGUUGGCCAACUUUUGUUGUUAUACUUGAUGAACUAGAUAGUAGACUUAGGAGUUUUGGGCAUUCACCCCGAUGGAAGACAUGGCCCCUGAACAUUGGCUGGUUGUAUUUUGCUUGUGGCCAUUAAGAUCCAUAUAGUAACUGGGGUGGCGACAGUCUUUAAGGUAGUUUAGAUAGUCUAAUAUGCAAUUGGAAGAUUGCUUUUACAUCCCGGCAGAUACCGGAUAAAGCAUCCUCUCUGUUUUGCUCAUUUAUUUCCCCUGCGGAACCCAAAGUAAUUGUUCACGGCUCUUGUUAGAGCACAUUACUUCUAGAUCCGCUUAUUUUGCACCUGAAAUGACUUUCCUGGUUCGAAAUGAGUAGAGAUAAGUUUCUCGA